rnacentral:rRNA from 1 species
UACGGAGGAUGCAAGCGUUAUCCGGAAUGAUUGGGCGUAAAGCGUCCGCAGGUGGCUAUGUAAGUCUGCUGUUAAAGAGUGAGGCUCAACCUCAUAAGAGCAGUGGAAACUACGUGGCUAGAGUGCGUUCGGGGCAGAGGGAAUUCCUGGUGUAGCGGUGAAAUGCGUAGAGAUCAGGAAGAACACCGGUGGCGAAAGCGCUCUGCUAGGCCGCAACUGACACUCAUGGACGAAAGCUAGGGGAGCGAAUGGG